AAUUUUUUAGUCAAUUAAUGAUUUU
rnacentral:tRNA from 1 species